AGUUAUCUGGAAUACAUCAGCUGUAUUGAUGGAGUAUUGGUUUUUCACAUCUGUACAUAGAGGAAUUCCAUCUUUAGGUGAAAGUAGCCGAAGGAGAAUUACAAGACUCUCACCAAGUAAUAUGGAAGAGGGCAUUGCUACUUCUAGAGAGCCAGAGAACUUGCAUUCUCAAAAUGGAGAAAAUUCAGUAUUGGGGGAAAAGAAAUGGCGAGGGAAAUUAACUGUAUGGGUUUCAAAGGCCCCCUUUGUUCGUGCUUGGAAAGUGUACCUAUGGCAAGAUGUUUUGCUCCCUGGAGUAGCUC
rnacentral:misc_RNA from 1 species